rnacentral:rRNA from 1 species
CUUAGCCCUAAACAUUAAUAAUUUAUAACAAAAUUAUUUGCCCGGGAACUACUAGCUACUGCUUAAAACCCAAAGGACUUGGCGGUACUUUAUAUCCACCUAGAGGAGCCUGUUCUAUAAUCGAUAAACCCCGCUACACCUUACCACUUCUUGCUAAUUCAGCCUAUAUACCGCCAUCUUCAGCAAACCUUUAAAAAGAACAAAAGUAAGCAAGAUAACAAACAUAAAAACGUUAGGUCAAGGUGUAGCCAAUGAAGUGGGAAGUAAUGGGCUACAUUUUCUCUUAAGAGAACAUUAACGUUACCCUUCUUGAAAUUGAAGGACUAAGGAGGAUUUAGUAGUAAAUUAAGAAUAGAGAGCUUAAUUGAAUAGAGCAAUGAAGUA